GUCGUACUGGUCAAGUGGUCCUAAACAUUUCACAAUUUUGUUAAAGAACUGUUGAACUGUUGAGAACCACUUAAUCAGAG
rnacentral:pre_miRNA from 1 species